UUAAGCGACUAAGCGUACACGGUGGAUGCCCUGGCAGUCAGAGGCGAUGAAGGACGUGCUAAUCUGCGAUAAGCGUCGGUGAGGUGAUAUGAACCGUUAUAACCGGCGAUUUCCGAAUGGGGAAACCCAGUGUGUUUCGACACACUAUCAUUAACUGAAUCCAUAGGUUAAUGAGGCGAACCGGGGGAACUGAAACAUCUAAGUACCCCGAGGAAAAGAAAUCAACCGAGAUUCCCCCAGUAGCGGCGAGCGAACGGGGAGGAGCCCAGAGCCUGAAUCAGUGUGUGUGUUAGUGGAAGCGUCUGGAAAGGCGCGCGAUACAGGGUGACAGCCCCGUACACAAAAAUGCACAUGCUGUGAGCUCGAUGAGUAGGGCGGGACACGUGGUAUCCUGUCUGAAUAUGGGGGGACCAUCCUCCAAGGCUAAAUACUCCUGACUGACCGAUAGUGAACCAGUACCGUGAGGGAAAGGCGAAAAGAACCCCGGCGAGGGGAGUGAAAAAGAACCUGAAACCGUGUACGUACAAGCAGUGGGAGCCUCUUAAUGGGGUGACUGCGUACCUUUUGUAUAAUGGGUCAGCGACUUAUAUUCUGUAGCAAGGUUAACCGAAUAGGGGAGCCGAAGGGAAACCGAGUCUUAACUGGGCGUUAAGUUGCAGGGUAUAGACCCGAAACCCGGUGAUCUAGCCAUGGGCAGGUUGAAGGUUGGGUAACACUAACUGGAGGACCGAACCGACUAAUGUUGAAAAAUUAGCGGAUGACUUGUGGCUGGGGGGGAAAGGCCAAUCAAACCGGGAGAUAGCUGGUUCUCCCCGAAAGCUAUUUAGGUAGCGCCUCGUGAAUUCAUCUCCGGGGGUAGAGCACUGUUUCGGCAAGGGGGUCAUCCCGACUUACCAACCCGAUGCAAACUGCGAAUACCGGAGAAUGUUAUCACGGGAGACACACGGCGGGUGCUAACGUCCGUCGUGAAGAGGGAAACAACCCAGACCGCCAGCUAAGGUCCCAAAGUCAUGGUUAAGUGGGAAACGAUGUGGGAAGGCCCAGACAGCCAGGAUGUUGGCUUAGAAGCAGCCAUCAUUUAAAGAAAGCGUAAUAGCUCACUGGUCGAGUCGGCCUGCGCGGAAGAUGUAACGGGGCUAAACCAUGCACCGAAGCUGCGGCAGCGACGCUUAUGCGUUGUUGGGUAGGGGAGCGUUCUGUAAGCCUGUGAAGGUGUGCUGUGAGGCAUGCUGGAGGUAUCAGAAGUGCGAAUGCUGACAUAAGUAACGAUAAAGCGGGUGAAAAGCCCGCUCGCCGGAAGACCAAGGGUUCCUGUCCAACGUUAAUCGGGGCAGGGUGAGUCGACCCCUAAGGCGAGGCCGAAAGGCGUAGUCGAUGGGAAACAGGUUAAUAUUCCUGUACUUGGUGUUACUGCGAAGGGGGGACGGAGAAGGCUAUGUUGGCCGGGCGACGGUUGUCCCGGUUUAAGCGUGUAGGCUGGUUUUCCAGGCAAAUCCGGAAAACCAAGGCUGAGGCGUGAUGACGAGGCACUACGGUGCUGAAGCGACAAAUGCCCUGCUUCCAGGAAAAGCCUCUAAGCAUCAGGUAACAUCAAAUCGUACCCCAAACCGACACAGGUGGUCAGGUAGAGAAUACCAAGGCGCUUGAGAGAACUCGGGUGAAGGAACUAGGCAAAAUGGUGCCGUAACUUCGGGAGAAGGCACGCUGAUAUGUAGGUGAAGCGACUUGCUCGUGGAGCUGAAAUCAGUCGAAGAUACCAGCUGGCUGCAACUGUUUAUUAAAAACACAGCACUGUGCAAACACGAAAGUGGACGUAUACGGUGUGACGCCUGCCCGGUGCCGGAAGGUUAAUUGAUGGGGUUAGCGGUAACGCGAAGCUCUUGAUCGAAGCCCCGGUAAACGGCGGCCGUAACUAUAACGGUCCUAAGGUAGCGAAAUUCCUUGUCGGGUAAGUUCCGACCUGCACGAAUGGCGUAAUGAUGGCCAGGCUGUCUCCACCCGAGACUCAGUGAAAUUGAACUCGCUGUGAAGAUGCAGUGUACCCGCGGCAAGACGGAAAGACCCCGUGAACCUUUACUAUAGCUUGACACUGAACAUUGAGCCUUGAUGUGUAGGAUAGGUGGGAGGCUUUGAAGUGUGGACGCCAGUCUGCAUGGAGCCGACCUUGAAAUACCACCCUUUAAUGUUUGAUGUUCUAACGUUGGCCCGUAAUCCGGGUUGCGGACAGUGUCUGGUGGGUAGUUUGACUGGGGCGGUCUCCUCCUAAAGAGUAACGGAGGAGCACGAAGGUUGGCUAAUCCUGGUCGGACAUCAGGAGGUUAGUGCAAUGGCAUAAGCCAGCUUGACUGCGAGCGUGACGGCGCGAGCAGGUGCGAAAGCAGGUCAUAGUGAUCCGGUGGUUCUGAAUGGAAGGGCCAUCGCUCAACGGAUAAAAGGUACUCCGGGGAUAACAGGCUGAUACCGCCCAAGAGUUCAUAUCGACGGCGGUGUUUGGCACCUCGAUGUCGGCUCAUCACAUCCUGGGGCUGAAGUAGGUCCCAAGGGUAUGGCUGUUCGCCAUUUAAAGUGGUACGCGAGCUGGGUUUAGAACGUCGUGAGACAGUUCGGUCCCUAUCUGCCGUGGGCGCUGGAGAACUGAGGGGGGCUGCUCCUAGUACGAGAGGACCGGAGUGGACGCAUCACUGGUGUUCGGGUUGUCAUGCCAAUGGCACUGCCCGGUAGCUAAAUGCGGAAGAGAUAAGUGCUGAAAGCAUCUAAGCACGAAACUUGCCCCGAGAUGAGUUCUCCCUGAGACUUAGAGUCUCCUGAAGGAACGUUGAAGACGACGACGUUGAUAGGCCGGGUGUGUAAGCGCAGCGAUGCGUUGAGCUAACCGGUACUAAUGAACCGUGAGGCUUAACCUU
rnacentral:rRNA from 1 species